GUGGGGAAUCUUGCGCAAUGGGCGAAAGCCUGACGCAGCCAUGCCGCGUGAAUGAUGAAGGUCUUAGGAUUGUAAAAUUCUUUCACCGGGGACGAUAAUGACGGUACCCGGAGAAGAAGCCCCGGCUAACUUCGUGCCAGCAGCCGCGGUAAUACGAAGGGGGCUAGCGCUGCUCGGAAUUACUGGGCGUAAAGGGCGCGUAGGCGGACAGUUUAGUCAGCGGUGAAAGCCCAGGGCUCAACCUUGGAAUUGCCUUUGAUACUGGUUGUCUUGAGUACGGGAGAGGUGAGUGGAACUCCGGGUGUAGAGGUGAAAUGCGUAGAUAUUCAGAAGAACACCAGUUGCGAAGGCGACUCACUGGCCCGUUACUGACGCUGAGGCGCGAAAGCGUGGGGAGCAAACAGGAUUAGAUACCCCUGUAGUCC
rnacentral:rRNA from 1 species